ACGAACGCUGGCGGCACGCCUAACACAUGCAAGUCGAACGGUAGGUAUAGUUUACUAUACUGAGAGUGGCGGACGGGUGAGUAACGCGUGGGAACCUGCCCUGUAGUUUGGGAUAACCAUGGGAAACUAUGGCUAAUACCGGAUAAGCUCGAGAGAGGAAAGAUUUAUCGCUAUAGGAUGGGCCCGCGUCAGAUUAGGUAGUUGGUAGGGUAAUGGCCUACCAAGCCGAUGAUCUGUAGCUGGUCUGAGAGGAUGGCCAGCCACACUGGGACUGAGACACGGCCCAGACUCCUACGGGAGGCAGCAGUGGGGAAUAUUGGACAAUGGGGGAAACCCUGAUCCAGCGAUGCCGCGUGAGUGAAGAAGGCCUUCGGGUUGUAAAGCUCUUUCACCUGAGACGAUAAUGACGGUAUCAGGAGAAGAAGCACCGGCUAACUCUGU
rnacentral:rRNA from 1 species